CUGCUGCCAGACGUCUGCCUUUGAACGCGUCCCUGCAUCGCGCACAACACCAAGGUUGCCAUGGCAAUCACAGCUAACAGGGACAACGUGCACAGCUGGAACCCUGCAGGUGAUGGAGAGCUCAGAUGAUGACCCCGCCUACGUGGUCAAAUUCAAGUCUACAUUCAGACCAGACCUGGAGACACGCAAACAAAAUGCCAACAUUGUAUAUGUGAAAGCUGCUGCUGCACUGGAGCCAGAUUCAAGGAGCUCAGGUGUUUACCCAGAUCUUACUGAACUUACUGAAGGAACAGAGGGUUGUUGGAGGGAAACCUGUGGAAGCAACAACAUCCGAGCCACCAGAGAAAAAGUUGGUCCUAUUGGUGCUUCAUCAGAGUGUGAACAGGAGGAAGACUCAGCUGAGAACAGUGUGGUGGAUACAGAGCAGAG
ensembl:lncRNA